rnacentral:lncRNA from 1 species
AGCCUGGCUUGAGGCAAGCACUCUACCACUGAGCUAAAUCCCCAAGUAACCACUUUUAAAUGGCAUGAAAUUAGGAAAAUUUGUACAUUUAAUGUACACUUUGAGGUAGGUUAAGAAAUACUGCAUAUUUCUUUUUCUAAAUUGUGGAUAUUGAACUUAAGAAAACAAACAUUAGCACAAAACACUAACAUAGUGUUAACAAAGGAGAUAUUGAGCCGGGCAGUGGUGGCACACCCCUUUAGUCCUAGCAUUCAGGAGGCAGAGACAGGCAGAUCUCUGAGUUCAAGGCCAGCCUGGUCUACAGAGUUCUAGGACCAAACCCAAAAAACAAAAGGAGGUAUUAAGUUUCCAGGCUGCUUGCUGUGUACAUCAAGAAAAUUCACAGUUGAAUUUUGAGAUUAGCUGGUUAUUAGCAAUUUCUGCCUGGAGCCAGCAGGGUGGGUGGACAACAGUGCGCCCUCCCCCCAUUGCUGAUGAAGCUGCAGCUCAGCGUUCCCUCGGGCACCUCAGUGAAGAGGUGCGCCCAGACAAGCAGCCUCACUCACUCAUGUUCCUUCAGAGCAGUUAGAGAAAAGUCCUCUCACACUUCAUUUUCCCACUCAUGGCCCUAGAAGGUGCUCAGCUCCACAGUGGACAGAGUUAGUCAGGGCGGCUCGGCAGUUAGAGUAUAAAGUUGUGUUCUAACUGGGAUUGGACUAAGUUAGGAAAGGUACAUUUGAGUGAAUUUUGGCGUGGCAGGAGGAGGUCGGCUGUAUGCUUCCAGCCCCAAAUUUAUAGACAGAAACAAAGUUCUGUCGGGGAAAAAGAGAUAUAUAUUUUUUAAAGUAUUGUAACUCCAGCCUCUUUUUGGGUCGUUUACUGGAUUAGGACUGUUACAAUCAAGGCCCUGGGGGAUUUCGGUCAGCUCUAAAUUAGUUUAGCCAACUGAACCUCUGCAUAGAUGGAUGCACUCAAUACAAAGCCAAGAAAUCCGAAUCCAUUGCUAUUUCCUCCCACUUCUUAAAUAUAUAUGUAUUCUGAGGUGGAAAUGGGGGAGAUUUGAAUAUAGAAUUUUUAUUCUCAAACUCUACUUAAUCUAAGGCUGCAUUGUACUUUGGGAGAGCUCUAAGCACCUUUAAAACAGUCGUCUCUAAUUUGCUGUAGAUGUUUGGUAUUUUUUAAGGUUUGUCUCCCUGUUUGCACUCAGGGUUAAAGUGUCAGACUAAACUUUUAGAAGAAAAUAGAGAAAUUCAGGACCUCAUUACAGAUUAUUCAGCAAAGUGGACCCUGAUGCUUUCUCGAUUUCCCCAGUGCUGGAGACAGCAUCUCCAUCCAAAGAAACACAUUUUCUUUAAAACUCUCACACUGUCUUCUCCCCCCUGCUUCCUGUUCCUUCAGCCUCCCUCCCCUUCCCUCCCUGAUACCUCUGAUUAUCUUGUGAUCACCUGCUGUCGUCACACUCUCCUGAGCCCUGAGAGCAGGGUUUUGGGAUAGGAGGUGGAGGUUUGGGUUAAUAUGGCCGUGUAUGCAUUCUACCAAGGAAAAUGUUCUUACGUUGACACAAGGAAGUACUGACUCACUGGCACUGAGAAAGGACUCGGCUACUUAGGGUUGGCAUGCACACCCAGCCUUUCCUGGGCAGCCUGCUAAGCCAGGUGACUGUGUGCUCUGUGGGGGGCUGGCUCUUCUCCCCUUAUUUCUCUAGUCUGGGUGGUGAGUGGGGGCUGUCACUCUACUGUCACGGUUUUUAGGACCUAAGGUGAUCCUCAUAAACUCUUGGGGGAAGCUGGGAGUAACUUACUGGGAAGCUAAUUUAUUUGUCUGAAGGGUGGUGGAGGGAUCACUGCCCUUUGAUCUGCCUAUGGUUUCCUCUUGGAGCUGUUGUGCAGAUAGGGGUUGUACUUGGUAAGACACCAAACAGAUUUCUAAUGUGUUCUAUGGGUUUCAGUUCUGAAAAAAAAAUAAAAGAUUUUAAUAUAUUAUUGU